rnacentral:rRNA from 1 species
UACGUAGGGACCAAGCGUUGUUCGGAUUUACUGGGCGUAAAGGGUGCGUAGGCGGCGCGUCAAGUCAGUUGUGAAAUCUUAAGGCUUAACCUUAAACGGUCAACUGAUACUGUCGUGCUAGAGUGCAGAAAGGGCAAUCGGAAUUCUUGGUGUAGCGGUGAAAUGCGUAGAUAUCAAGAGGAACACCUGAGGCGAAGGCGGGUUGCUUGGCUGACACUGACGCUGAGGCACGAAAGCUAGGGUAGCAAACAGG